ACAUUGGUGGUUCAGUGGUAGAAUCCUUACCUUCCAUGCUGGAGACCUGGGUUCGAUUUCUUGCCAGUGCA
rnacentral:tRNA from 1 species